rnacentral:lncRNA from 1 species
AUACACGAAAUAGUAGAGUAUGACAGUUCUUUUAUUACUUGUAAUUUCGUACACGGAUUUAGGAGCUCGAAUCUCGACGCUCACAAUUUUACGAAACAUGCUUUAAGGUUAGGGGUUAGCCGUCAUGUUUAGUUAGGUGACCCCGGAUUUUUUUUCGUCCGUGUAAACUUUGUGACAGUUGAGUAAAAACUUCGCGAGAUUGUCUUAGAAAAAAACUUUUUCUAAGAAACACCAUACCAUACCUUGGCAUUACUCCGCUCGCGUCAGGGCACAUUUCGUUUCCAUAUAUGCCGAAUAGGGACGCGGACACACAAGGCAUAUAUGGAGCCGAGCUACUCGAUAACUAGGGCGCGCGUAAUGAUCCCGGUAGAGUCGAGUACGGCACCAUUGAUUCCAAGCAUGGUGGGUGGCCAUCCAACAAAUUUAUGAAAUCCUAUCGGCCGGAUGGGAUGAGACGAGACGCGACGGCGAC